UUUCUCGAUGUAAACAAACCAAUACAAAUGACGACACCAGUUUCCGUGGCUCCCAUACGAGCAAACUUUUGCUCUACUGCGUUGUACCGUUCACGUCAACACGGUACUUUGAAAAAGUUACGUUACGCUCCUCAGAAAAAAAUUGGCGGCCGGCAAAUUGAUGCAAACUGGUUAGUACUGCGUAGCGCUACGUCCACGAAGAGGCGGCGACAUGAAACGGUCCAAAUAAGUCAAGUGAUGGAGAAAUGAAGAAAACACCAGCCCUCCAGAAUAUCAAAGAGAACAGUAGAUUCGUCAUUGUUGAACUACUUUUAUUAAAUGAUAUGAAAAAUAAAAAUUGAGUUUGA